rnacentral:rRNA from 1 species
UGGCGACCGGCGCGACGGGUGAGUAACGCGUAUCCAACCUGCCCUUUUACUAUGGGACAGCCCGUCGAAAGGCGGAUUAAUACCGUAUGUUGUCAUGUUGAUGCAUAUUUUCAUGACCAAAGGCUUCGGCCGGUAAAGGAUGGGGAUGCGUCUGAUUAGCUUGCCGGCGGGGUAACGGCCCACCGGGGCGACGAUCAGUAGGGGUUCUGAGAGGAAGGUCCCCCACAUUGGAACUGAGACACGGUCCAAACUCCUACGGGAGGCAGCAG